ensembl:snoRNA SNORA73 Small nucleolar RNA SNORA73 family
CCUACAUCACCUGGGUGCUGUCCAGAUGGCGUAGGGGAGCACAGGGUUAAGCCCCAUGAUGUACAAUCCUUUUCCCCAGUGUUGGAGAUGAAGCUGCGUCUUGAGUCUGCACCUACAUAUUCCUGUGGCUUCUCAGAGCCCUGUGGACAAGGCCUGAGGGGACAAACCAUGCAGGAACCAUCU